rnacentral:rRNA from 1 species
CGGGUGAGUAACACGUGGCAACCUGGCUCAUAGAGGGGGAUAACAGAGAGAAAUUUCUGCUUAAUACCGCAUAAGCACACACUGCCGCAUGGCAGAGUGUGAAAAGAGAAUCGCUAUGAGAUGGACCCGCGUCUGAUUAGCCAGUUGGCAGGGUAAGAGCCUACCAAAGCGACGAUCAGUAGCCGAUCUGAGAGGAUGAACGGACACAUUGGGACUGAGACACGGCCCAAACUCCUACGGGAGGCAGCAGUGGGGAAUAUUGCACAAUGGGGGGAACCCUGAUGCAGCGACGCCGCGUGAGUGAAGAAGUAUUUCGGUAUGUAAAGCUCUAUCAGCAGGGAAGAUAAUGACAGUACCUGAAUAAGAAGCCCG